GACGAACGCUGGCGGCGUGCCUAAUACAUGCAAGUCGAACGAGAGCGACCGGUGCUUGCACUGGUCAAUCUAGUGGCGAACGGGUGAGUAACACGUGGGUAACCUGCCCAUCAGAGGGGGAUAACAUCCGGAAACGGAUGCUAAAACCGCAUAGGUCUUCGAGCCGCAUGGCUUGAAGAGGAAAAGAGGCGCAAGCUUCUGCUGAUGGAUGGACCCGCGGUGCAUUAGCUAGUUGGUGAGGUAACGGCUCACCAAGGCCGUGAUGCAUAGCCGACCUGAGAGGGUGAUCGGCCACAUUGGGACUGAGACACGGCCCAAACUCCUACGGGAGGCAGCAGUAGGGAAUCUUCCGCAAUGGACGCAAGUCUGACGGAGCAACGCCGCGUGAGUGAAGAAGGUUUUCGGAUCGUAAAACUCUGUUGUUAGAGAAGAACAAGUGCUAGAGUAACUGUUAGCGCCUUGACGGUAUCUAACCAGAAAGCCACGGCUAACUACGUGCCAGCAGCCGCGGUAAUACGUAGGUGGCAAGCGUUGUCCGGAUUUAUUGGGCGUAAAGCGAGCGCAGGCGGUUCCUUAAGUCUGAUGUGAAAGCCCCCGGCUCAACCGGGGAGGGUCAUUGGAAACUGGGGAACUUGAGUGCAGAAGAGGAGAGUGGAAUUCCAUGUGUAGCGGUGAAAUGCGUAGAUAUAUGGAGGAACACCAGUGGCGAAGGCGACUCUCUGGUCUGUAACUGACGCUGAGGCUCGAAAGCGUGGGUAGCAAACAGG
rnacentral:rRNA from 2 species